UACGGGGGGGGCAAGCGUUGUUCGGAAUUACUGGGCGUAAAGGGCUCGUAGGCGGCCGACUAAGUCAGACGUGAAAUCCCUCGGCUUAACCGGGGAACUGCGUCUGAUACUGGAUGGCUUGAGUUUGGGAGAGGGAUGCGGAAUUCCAGGUGUAGCGGUGAAAUGCGUAGAUAUCUGGAGGAACACCGGUGGCGAAGGCGGCAUCCUGGACCAACACUGACGCUGAGGCGCGAAAGCCAGGGGAGCGAACGGG
rnacentral:rRNA from 1 species